GACGAACGCUGGCGGCGUGCCUAAUACAUGCAAGUAGAACGCUGAAGGAGGAGCUUGCUUCUCUGGAUGAGUUGCGAACGGGUGAGUAACGCGUAGGCAACCUGCCUGGUAGCGGGGGAUAACUAUUGGAAACGAUAGCUAAUACCGCAUAAGAGUAGAUGUUGCAUGACAUUUGCUUAAAAGGUGCAAUUGCAUCACUACCAGAUGGACCUGCGUUGUAUUAGCUAGUUGGUGGGGUAACGGCUUACCAAGGCGACGAUACAUAGCCGACCUGAGAGGGUGAUCGGCCACACUGGGACUGAGACACGGCCCAGACUCCUACGGGAGGCAGCAGUAGGGAAUCUUCGGCAAUGGACGGAAGUCUGACCGAGCAACGCCGCGUGAGUGAAGAAGGUUUUCGGAUCGUAAAGCUCUGUUGUAAGAGAAGAACGAGUGUGAGAGUGGAAAGUUCACACUGUGACGGUAUCUUACCAGAAAGGGACGGCUAACUACGUG
rnacentral:rRNA from 1 species